UACGUAGGGGGCAAGCGUUGUCCGGAAUUAUUGGGCGUAAAGCGCGCGCAGGCGGUCAUUUAAGUCUGGUGUUUAAAUCCUGGGGCGUCAACCCCGGGUCGCACUGGAAACUGGGUGGCUUGAGUACAGAAGAGGAGAGUGGAAUUCCACGUGUAGCGGUGAAAUGCGUAGAUAUGUGGAGGAACACCAGUGGCGAAGCGACUCUCUGGGCUGUAACUGACGCUGAGGCGCGAAAGCGUGGGGAGCAAACAGG
rnacentral:rRNA from 1 species